rnacentral:rRNA from 1 species
UACGUAGGGUGCAAGCGUUAAUCGGAAUUACUGGGCGUAAAGCGUGCGCAGGCGGCUUUGCAAGACAGAUGUGAAAUCCCCCGGGCUUAACCUGGGAACUGCAUUUGUGACUGCAUGGCUAGAGUGCGGCAGAGGGGGAUGGAAUUCCGCGUGUAGCAGUGAAAUGCGUAGAUAUGCGGAGGAACACCGAUGGCGAAGGCAAUCCCCUGGGCCUGCACUGACGCUCAUGCACGAAAAGCGUGGGGAGCAAACAGG